CCUGUGGGGUGCCUGUGGCGGCCCGGCGCGGCGGGCGCGUUGCGCUCGGGCAGGCGCGGCGCGGGCAGCCUGCGGGAGGGGUCCUGGCUCGUCCCUGAGGCGGGCGCUGAGGGAGGGCGCGGAAAAAGGAAUUAAAGGCGGAAUUAAAGCAGGAGUUAAAGAAGAAAUUAAAAUCUAUGAGGCAAAACCGCCCGUGAGCGCGACGCCCGCGGGUGUGGCCGCCCGGCACGGCUGCUGCGGACGGCUGGUGAUGCGUCCGUCCUCCACACUUGGCGGGUCUCUGGAAUUUGGGAAUGGGAUGAAGCUGGAGCUGCCUGGUCAGCAGCGAUGUCCUGACCUGGCCUGAACCAAAAGUGCACAAAAAGAUGCAGAAACUUGCACUGGAGAUGGAGAAGAAAAUUCCCUCCUUUGCAUGGUCACCCACUGUUAGACCCGAAACUUUGUCAGGCUCUGCCCCAGUCCUAAGAGUGAGGAGAGAAAUUUUUUAAACUUUACCCAUUUUCACUUUGUGGUUGUGAAGUUCUGACUGAUCAAGCCCUUUCUUGCUUCAGAAAUGCUUUCAGCGUGACUGUUUAAAGCCUUCUUGGUGGGGGAAAGUGUUCUAAUAAAUUGAAAAUGCAAA